rnacentral:rRNA from 1 species
UACGUAGGUGGCGAGCGUUGUCCGGAUUUACUGGGCGUAAAGGGCGUGCAGGCGGUUUGUUAAGUGCAGAGUGAAAGCUCCCGGCUCAACUGGGAGAGGUCUUUGCAUACUGGCAAACUCGAGGGAGGCAGAGGAAAGUGGAAUUCCCGGUGUAGUGGUGAUAUGCGUAGAUAUCGGGAGGAACACCGGUGGCGAAGGCGGCCAACUGGACGAAGACUGACGCUGAGACACGAAAGCGUGGGGAGCAAACAGG